AUUGAACGCUGGCGGCAUGCCUUACACAUGCAAGUCGAACGGUAACAGGUCUUCGGAUGCUGACGAGUGGCGAACGGGUGAGUAACACAUCGGAACGUGCCCGAUCGUGGGGGAUAACGAAGCGAAAGCUUUGCUAAUACCGCAUAAGAUCUACGGAUGAAAGCAGGGGACCGCAAGGCCUUGCGCGAACAGAGCGGCCGAUGGCAGAUUAGGUAGUUGGUGGGAUAAAAGCUUACCAAGCCGACGAUCUGUAGCUUGUCUGAGAGGACGACCAGCAACGCUGGGACUGAGACACGGCCCAGACUCCUACGGGAGGCAGCAGUGGGGAAUUUUGGACAAUGGGCGAAAGCCUGAUCAAGCCAUGCCGCGUUCAGGAUGAAGGCCUUCGGGUUGUAAACUGCGUUUGUACGGAACGAAAAGACUCUUUCUAAUAAAGAGGGUCCAUGACGGUACCGUAAGAAUAAGCACCGGCUAACUACGUGCCAGCCGCCGCCGUAA
rnacentral:rRNA from 1 species